UCAUGACAAGAAAUUCAGAGGUGGGAAAGCCAGGGCUGCUGCAGCUGCUUUCGGCUGCAUUUCUUCUUUUGGUCCUCCGCACCAGCGAGCAUGUGGCUUGCAUCCUCGUGCCUACAGCAUGGCUGCUGUGCCUACAGGCCUCACACAGAAGUCCCGCUCACCAAGGAAGCAUUUUUAAUCCUUUUUAAAAAGUUGAAGUAAGAUUUAUAUGCAGAGAAAGCAAUGAAUGAGUUCCUGCUGCUCUACAACCUUGCCAACAUUUGGAAUUGUCAGUGUUCUGGAUUUUAGCCAUUCUAUUAGGUUAUAACAGGGUUCAAGAUGUGUACUUUCAUGGAAAAUGAUGUUUCCAUCUUUUCAAUGGUUGUUUGGCUCAAAGGGGUGGAUCAAGAACAAGGAACAUUAAUUGGUAGAGAGAAAGAAAAAA
rnacentral:lncRNA from 1 species